UCCGAGCACCAUGCAUAAAACAAUCAAGUGUCAUGUCAUGGUGUCCUCAAACAAUACAAGGCAAAUGAUGAUUAAUAAGAAAGUAUCUUGGAUCUAAACUUGAAAUCGCAAUGGUCAUGUAAGCAUACAAACAAAUGGAGUUAGUGUGAAUUAAAACAAACGAGAAUGAUGCAUCAAAUGUUAACAUGCUCAAUGGCUUUAAUCAAUUUAAAUGAAAAUGAAUCAUGAACAAUUAAAGAUGGGUUAAUCAUAUGACCAUGGCAAAUGAAAUGACAUACACAAGGCAUAUAUCUUAUGAAUUUAAAUGACAUUUUUAAUUUCCAUAAGAUUAUCACAAACAAAAUGAAUCGAUUAAAUGGAUUGAAAAAUGAACCUAAACAUGAUAUAUGGAUCAAACAUGAAAAACUAACAAAAACUCACCUCAGCAUUCAAUGUCUUCUUUUGUUCGUGGUUGAUUCUUCCGUCGGUGUCGUCACGUUGAAGCGUUGCGUUCGUGAUAAAGAUGAAGACAUUGUGGACGUCGUUGCGCUGAAGGAUGAAGAAUGAAGAUGAAGCCUUGUUCGAAUCGGUGAUUGAAGUGGUUGAAGUUUUUUUAUUUCCGUUUUUCAGUUGAGAGGUUUGAGAAAGUUCUGUUAUAGGGUGGGUAUGAAGUUGUUUGAAGUUCUUCUUUCGAGUUUGUUGAAUUUUAUUAAAGGGUUCAGAGGGGUUAGAAUGGUGAUUUAUGUUAGAGGGUUCCAAGAGGUCCAGAGUUAUGAGAGAGUGAGGUUAUGGUGAUAAUUUUGUUUACAGGUGACUUACUUGAGAAGUUUGUUGGGAAAAGUUGUUAGGAAACACUUUAGAAUCUAUGUUGUAGGGUGGUAGAAGAAUGCAGGUAGAGAGUGGAUUAAUGAAGGUUGUUGGGAGUAUGGAAGUUUGUUGGGAGGUUAUUCCAGGCUUUGUUCUUUUGGAAGGUUGUUGAAGAUUCCUGGAAGCUAGAAGUUGGUUCUCUAUUUGCUGGUGUUAGAGUGAAAUGAAGAGAAGGUUCCAAUUUCGAAAAUGAAUAUUUCACUUCUGUUAUGCAAUGUGUUUCUUUUCGAAAAUUUCUUCCCCCAAUUUUGAACAGCAUGUUAUAAUUUUAUGUCUUCUUCCUUUGACCA